rnacentral:rRNA from 1 species
GAUGAACGCUAGCUACAGGCUUAACACAUGCAAGUCGAGGGGAAACGACAUCGAAAGCUUGCCUUUGAUGGGCGUCGACCGGCGCACGGGUGAGUAACGCGUAUCCAACCUGCCCAUCACUUGGGAAUAACCUUGCGAAAGUAAGACUAAUACCCAAUGACAUCCCACGAAGACAUCUGAAUGGGAUUAAAGAUUUAUCGGUGAUGGAUGGGGAUGCGUCUGAUUAGCUUGUUGGCGGGGUAACGGCCCACCAAGGCAACGAUCAGUAGGGGUUCUGAGAGGAAGGUCCCCCACAUUGGAACUGAGACACGGUCCAAACUCCUACGGGAGGCAGCAGUGAGGAAUAUUGGUCAAUGGGCGAGAGCCUGAACCAGCCAAGUAGCGUGCAGGAUGACGGCCCUAUGGGUUGUAAACUGCUUUUAUAAGGGAAUAAAGUGGGUCUCGUGAGACUUUUUGCAUGUACCUUAUGAAUAAGGACCGGCUAAUUCCGUG